rnacentral:tRNA from 1 species
GCCGCCGUAGCUCAGCGGUAGAGCGCCGGGCUGUGGACCCGGAGGUCCCGGGUUCAAAUCCCGGCGGCGGCCCCA